GACAUCUGCUCUCUUGCGGCUGGCGAGCAAGCACUCUGAGGUGGCCAGGCCAGUGGGAAGCACCAGUUUCUGGCUGGUUCUCUUUUCGUCCCCCUGUUCCCUGCCCCGCAACGUUCAAGCGACACUAAACACUCAAAGACAAAGGUCUCUUCUUCACAUUUCCAACUACUACAGCAGUUUGCAAUUUGUUGCCAGUGUCGUCCGAUCCUCUCCAGUUCUGUCAGGUUGGAUGGUGAACAGCAAUUUUCAGGUCUCUCCAGAGAUGCUCAAUUGGGUUUAAGUCAGGGCUCUGGCUGGGCCAUUCAAGAACAGUCACAGAGUUGUUCUGAAGUCACUCCUU